AUUGAACGCUGGCGGCAUGCUUUACACAUGCAAGUCGAACGGCAGCGCGGGCUUCGGCCUGGCGGCGAGUGGCGAACGGGUGAGUAAUACAUCGGAACGUGCCCAGCAGUGGGGGAUAGCUCGGCGAAAGCCGGAUUAAUACCGCAUAAGACCUGAGGGUGAAAGCGGGGGAUCUUCGGACCUCGCGCUAUUGGAGCGGCCGAUGGCGGAUUAGCUAGUUGGUGGGGUAAAGGCCUACCAAGGCGACGAUCUGUAGCUGGUCUGAGAGGACGACCAGCCACACUGGGACUGAGACACGGCCCAGACUCCUACGGGAGGCAGCAGUGGGGAAUUUUGGACAAUGGGCGAAAGCCUGAUCCAGCAAUGCCGCGUGUGUGAUGAAGGCCUUCGGGUUGUAAAGCACUUUUGUCGGGAACGAAAAGGACUGUGCCAAUACCACGGUUCGAUGACGGUACCCGCAGAAUAAGCACCGGCUAACUACGUG
rnacentral:rRNA from 1 species